GAGAGAGAGAGAGAGGCAGCCCAGUUCUGUGCUGAGCCUUUCACACGGACUUUACAGCUGUUCUGUUCGGUCCCCCACACAUCUGCCGAGGAGAAAGCGAGGACAGAAACAUCUGUUGAUCACUGGUAACCAAGCAUGGCCAUCAUGCUGGCUGCUGCGGUACUCAAGCUCUACGCCAUUGGAACCGCACUCUCCUUACUGGCUUUUAUUUAUGGGAUUGCCGACUCCUUCGGGGGACUCAUGUACGCUCAGAACCACCACUACAUCCACGGACUGGACCACCAGACACAGAGGCAGAUCCCCUCCGGGGCCCACGUGCGAAGAGGAUCUGUGACGAGAAACAUUGGCUGACGAGAAACUUUGUGAUGUUGGAUCUUUGCUUCGCUUUAAGGAGACUUGGACUGUAUAUAUUUUUCUUCCCAGGGGAAGUUUUGUCUUUUUCUUUGUCUACGGUUAAAAAAAAAAAAAAAGAUGUUGUGCAGCUAUUUUUCAGAGCAACUACAAAGCUGUAACAGAUGUAGCAGCACUACUGAACAAUUUGCACUAAAACUAGAAUGUUUUUAUAGCUGUUUCUGAAAUAAAAUACCUUCUUUUUAA